rnacentral:rRNA from 1 species
AGUGAACGCUGGCGGCAUGCCUAACACAUGCAAGUCGAACGAAUUUCAGCAGUGUAUCGCUGAGAUGAGUGGCAGACGGGUNAGUAAUACGUGGAACAAUCUUCCUUCGAGAGGGGAAUAACUCCGGGAAACCGGAGCUAAUACCGCGUGAGACCACGUCCCGGCAUCGGGAGUGGGUUAAAGCUCCGUAAGGGGCGCUUGAAGAGGGGUUCACGGCCUAUCAG